UUUUCUGAGUCUCUCAUCGUGAUAUCCGAGUGUAUUUUCUUCUCCUGAACAUUCUGGAAGAUUUUAUGAUGAUUUUUGGUUGGUUGAUUUUGGUGACCUAUCGGCUUCUAGGGUUUCUGGUGGGUUGACUUGAGGUUUUACUGCCUUCCGGUCGCUCGAUUCUCACUCAGUGGACGUUUUGGGUGCUUCUCCGACAUUCCUGACCACAUUUCUAGUAAAGUUGCUUUUAAGGUUACACUUAGGGUUUGAUACCUAGGUUUUCUCUGUUGUUUGAAGGCCGAUCUUCUCCGGUCGCGAAGAAGGAGGGUAACUCUGUCCUUAUCUUCGGUAUUACAUGUGAUUGUUUGACUGUGUACUUAUGAGCAUCUGGUGUUGUCUGUGAAUACCUGACUUGACUGUAUUCUGUUUGUUGGUUGUUGUAUGUGAAUACCUGUUUUGGUUAUAUUCUGUUUGUUGAAAAAGUUAUUCAUUUAAGCCGGUUCAUUGACUAUGGCUUCUAACACAAGUACUAGUGUCUCCCCUUCUCUAGACUCUUCCAGUCCCCUUUUUGUAUAUUCUUCUGAUGUCCCUGGGGUAUCUCUUGUUUCCACUCCCUUCUCGGGUAGUGGUUAUGGGGGCUGGGGACGUAAAAUGAUUGUUGCCUUAUCAGCCAAAAACAAAAUCAGUUUUGUUGAUGGCACAUACUNNN
rnacentral:lncRNA from 1 species